GACGAACGCUGGCGGCGGGCUUAACACAUGCAAGUCGAACGGAAAGGCCCUGCUUUUGUGCUGUUCUCGAGUGGCGAUCGGGUGAGUAACACGUGUGUAACCUGCUCUUGACUUUGGGAUAACUUCAGGUAACUGGGGCUAAUACCGUAUAGCAUCUCCUCUUCCAUUGUGGGGGUGGGAACGUUUAGGCUUUUGGGGAUGGACGCGCGGCUUAUCAGCUUGUUGGUUGGGUAGUGGCUUACCAAGGCUUUGGAGGGUAGCCGGCCUGUGAGGGUGACCAGCCACAUUAGGACUGAGGUACGGAGCAGAGUCCAACAGGAGGCAGCAGUGGGAAAUAUUGCACAAUGGGCGGACGUGUGAUGAAGAAACGCCGCGUGCGGGAUGACGGCCUUCGGGUAGUAAAAAGCAUUCGGCUGUGACGAAGCGUGAGUGACGGUAAUGGGUAAAGAAGCACCGGCUAACUACGUG
rnacentral:rRNA from 1 species